rnacentral:lncRNA from 1 species
CCCUCUUCUCUGUGGCCUCAGGGCUGUCACACCAUUUUGCCCCUGGUCCCCACCCCCGCUGCUCCCUCCUGGGCCUGAGGAUGCUCCUAGGAGCGGGAGAACUUCGGGCCAGUGACGAUGUAAAAGAGGCCGGGGCCUUGCCCUCGGCCCAGCUCUGCACGCAGUGGCCUGUCGUGGGCCUGUCCCGGGACCCAAGCACCCGGGUGGCAUAGAGUGAUCCACCGGCGACCUCCCACCGCUGGGGUCUGGACCGCACUGUCUAGUUUGGGAGACCUGCACCUGAGCGGUGCCUGUGCUCCGUCCUUGACGCCGGGGGUCAUCUCCAGAGAAACAUCUCCCAGCGUUGUCUCUUAUGUUUUGUACAGUAAUGGUGAUAGGAAUUUUUAAGCAUGGGAGCGCAAAACCCCACAUGAUUUCUAAGGAGAGUCCAACAAAAUUUGUGAGGUAUCUUAAAUGCAGAGUGCUCGGAGUUUUCUUUGUAGUCAUGCUGGCUUUGGAGCAACUUUUAAUUAAGAAAGCUUGUAUAACAUCUGAGUUCACCAAUUUGGCUCUGGAGCAUACAGUACUUCUAUCUUUAAUUGAAGCGUGGAAAUGUGAAGCUACUUCAGUGAUUUUAUACUGGAUGUUGACAAAAAAGGAUUGUUGAAGACACACAAGUUGACAAAUGACAUUCAAUUACCAAUGGAAUACCUUUGAAAAAUGCUAACGUGUUUGAAUUAAAAGAGAUUUCAUGUCUAUAUAAAACAAUAUUCUGUUACCAAGAAGUUUUUCCUUAAUUGUUUCAGAUAGUUUGGCAUUCUCUACUUUACCUGACCUCUCAUCUUUGCUCUCAAAACACAGUAUUUGAAGUGAUUUUAGACCUGAAAUCAGUGGUAGCCAUACAGACACAUGUUGAACUAGUAGAGAUUGUAUAAUAUGAAAGAUGAAUUAAUUUCUCUUCCUAGAGUUUAUGUCCUGGAAGGCAGACACAUUCAAGAGCCGAGUCGCUGACACACAGUGGUAUUGUUCUGUCUUAGGCUUUUUAAACAAUUCAAACUCCUAAAUUGCUACACCUUCCACUUUUAGUAGGUGCUUUGCUCUGUAAUUUGAACCUCAACAGGUUUCUAAAAAUGUGGACAUUAUUAUAUGAUUAGUAUACAGAGAACUUUGACUUUGAAAAUUCAGCUAGGAACUGGUAAGCAGACGUGGGUUAAAAUUAGCAAAGCUUUUAUGCAUGAGUAGCUUACAGCCCCACAGUAGUGGGAUUUUUCUGGAUUCUCAGAGGAGAUUUGUAAAGAGAAACGGAACAAGAUUUAAAAACUGGUUUUGUACUUUGGGUUUUCAGUCUCGUUUUCAUAAAGGAGUGGAUAAUGGUCUUGAAAUUGUAUAAUUAGCCUUUUCCAAAAGGAGGCAAAGACUUCCAAACGUCAUUGAAACAGUUUUUCAACUUAAUAUUUCAUUCCAAGUCAAAUGCAUAGUUUUAUUUGGCAUGUACAUAAUACCUGUAAAUGCAGCUGAUACUUUAAUAAUCUUAGCUUGAUAACAUUUUGAGUAGUUCUUCACUUAACUAAUAAUCUAAAUGUUUAUAUGUGAUCAUGGAACAUUCAUUUAACUAUGUAAAAUCAGAGAAGCACUUUGUUUUAAAGUUAAUAAAUUGAAAAUGGGUCAGAAAAUAGAGUGGCUUUCUUUUCCAUUACAGUAAUCUCUUCAUUAUAUUUUAUAUUUAAAUUACCAACAAUUCCACUUAUGAGUAUAGUAUGAUCAUUACGUUACAUUUCUUCAUUGAACUUUAAUGACUUUUGGGGAAAAUACUAGAUUAAAAAGAACUGUAACUUCUUUAAUAAGUCUAACUUCAGAUAUGAAAUAGUUAUUUCCCCCCCCUUCGGUUUUUUUUUUUUUUUUUUGAGACAGAGUUUUUCUGUGUAGCCCUGGUUGUCCUAGAACUCACCCUGUAGACCAGGCUAGCCUCUAACUCACAGAGAUCUGAGAAAUAGGCAUCCUUUAAUGUGUUUCAUUAGGACAAUAAAUUCUAUUUAUGGGCAUUGUCCAUGAUAUACACAAGCUUUCUAGUUUAAAAUACCCUUUCUACUUAACUUUUCAGACUAUGCAGCAUCUCAUAAGUAGGAUUCUUGACAAUUUUCAAGUAGAAAAUACAGAGCAAAGUACCUAAUAAAACUGGAAGGUGUAGCAAUUUAGGAGUUUCAAUUGUUUGAAGGCUUAAUCAAGCAAUGGGACCUUUUAGUUUUAAGGGAUUUUUAUUCUUCAAAAUGCAACAGGGAACUGAAAAAAAUAAAAUUAGGACACUUC